AAUCAACUGUAAUCACUUUCAACAACAACUUUAUGGUGCACACCUGUCCCAAAAGCGGCCAAGACAGCUGGGCAAUUUGAACUUGCUAGAUGGAUUACAUCACCACAUUGAAAAUUCCAUGGACGGAAAAAGAGGUGAACUUGCUAAGACAUUGCAACAAAACACGGAUAAAAACUUUCAUUACAAGCAACUUCAUUGAAGAAAAAAAACCCAUCUCCGUUAUGUACACCAAACAUUCAGUUUCGGUAAUGCAGUAACACAUGCUCAGGAAUAAAGACUUUUAUGUAGUGUGCAGUGACUAUCACAUCAUAUGUUACUGCGGCUCUUUAGGCACUCAGCUAUCGGUCUCACUUUGUCAUACAGAACAGGGAUUCAUUUUCUGGUGAAAAACUUCCUAUGUGGUAUGUGAUACCUCAGCUCCAAGAUGUGGAGCAGUUAUCUAUUACACCGUAAGGCUGGAUAUUUUUACAAAUAAAGGUGGCAAUGGUGUCGGUUAUUGCCUUAGAACGAGCUGUUAGCUGGCAGGGUGUGAAAAUUAGGGCGUUUAUUUUUUUUAAAGAGUUUUGUGUUAUUUGAAAGCAUUGUGAAAUGUAAAAAAAAAAACAGUAAUGAUAUGAUGAAAAUGGGAAUACUGACGUUGACAAUGCCAAUAUAAUAUUUUGGUAUGUUAAGGCAUGUUUGUUCUCUGCUUUAAAGAAAGGGGGAUGUGUUGAUAUGUAGUGCAGUACUUUUGGUGACCAGCAGAGAGACCUGGAGGGUUGGGAGGAGGUAAAGACAAGGGGUAGGGAGACCGACGGCACAGAGCAGGUUGUGGGUUUGCAUGGAAGAUGUUGGUGGUUAAAUAAAAGUUCAUUGUUCAUGAAACAAGGUCUCUUCAAUGACAUAUGAACAACACAAUGUAUCUCUUCCUUCUCAUGAUAAUCUGACUCGCCAAACAUGCCUCCAGCUCGCGUGAUGUGGCCGAGGGACUUGAGGAGAAUUAUACACUGACAGCAGUGGAGAUGAGAGCGCACUUGAAAUUAUCAGGUAAAGACUCCAACAGCAAGACUGUGGUACAGCAGCCUGUGUCUGACACUGUGUCUGACACAGACUCUGUGAGCCUGCAGUGUACGAUAGAGACUGGGAGCUGUGCAGGAGAACACAGUGUUUACUGGUUCAGACAUGGAUCAGGAGAAUCCCUUCCUGGAGUCAUUUACAGCCACGGAAACAGGAGUGAUGAGUGUGAGAAGAGCCCUGAGGCUGGAUCUCCUACACGGAGCUGCGUCUACAGCCUCCCCAAGGGGAACCUCAGCCUCUCCGAUGCUGGGACUUACUACUGCGCCGUGGCCAUGUGUGGGGAGAUGCUGUUUGGCAAUGGGACCAAGCUGGAUAUAGAUGGUAACACCCAGUGAGGGGAGAUGCUGUUUGGGAACGGCACACAGCUGGAUAUAGAUGGUAACACCCAGUGAGGGGAGAUGCUGUUUGGGAACGGCACACAGCUGGAUAUAGAUGGUAACACCCAGCGUGGGGAGAUGCUGUUUGGGAACGGAACACAGCUGGAUAUAGAUGGUAACACCCAGUGAGGGGAGAUGCUGUUUGAGAACGGCACAUAGCUGGA